UAAAAAACCCUGCUGGUCCCUUCCCCCCCGGCAAAAGAGGUCCUGUCCUGAAAUAACCCUUUCUUCUCUUUUGUUAAUAACUUUUUUGCCCGACCCUUCUUCCCGUAAGAGGCUUCCAUUUUGUAUAAUUCCUCCACUUGCUAGGUGGACUGCUGCCAGAUUCACGAAACGCUUAAGAAAGCCAAGGAAAUGUUCCAAGUUUACUUGGUUGAAUUUUGUUUUCCAGUGAAUUUGGGGUCAGCAACGGCAAUUAGAAGCUAACCUCCACUGGCAUUCGGGAACAACAAGAGACGGGCGUGGUGCCCCCGAAAACUCUUGAGUUCACUGUCUUUCUGGCCGUUUCAAGGGCUCUGCAAUCUUUACACCCAACAUGGGACUCGAACUCACAACCCUGAGAUCAAGAGUCACAGGUGGCCCUGGCUGAGUGAGUCAGGCACUUCAGGCUUGUGUCAAUCUAAAAGGUGUGUCAGAAGGAAAAGAUGAAUACGAGCCUCUUGGAGCUAUUGCCGCUACCUGAAGCAAGAUCCUAUGGAGACUACUGCCCAGUGGCUACACAGCACGGUGGUUUAGAGCCAUUGUUGGAUGCUGGAGCCAGUGGGGUGGCUUCCAACAACAGCUGGACCUUACUGACCAGACGAGUGACGUUGGGCAGCAACUUGACUCACUGACUCUUCACCAGAGCCCUAUGAGGUAGGUACUAGUAUUAUCCCCACUUCACAGAUGAGGAAACUGAGGUGCACGGAGAGUUUAUAUGGCCUGCCUAAGGUCACCCUGUCCGAGCCAAUCGUUUAAAUUGGGGCCUUGGUGUACGAGAAGCCAGGAUGAAAAUGGAAGCUUCAAGUGAAAUGCUUUGUCCCUUUUCCCGCCGUAUCUCCCAGCCCCUUUCCGUAUCUGUCAUCAACGUAAUUGCUCUUGCCUUGACACAUUUUCCUUCUCCCAUGUCUCUGCGAGUUCCAUCCUGACUCAUCUCACUUCCUUCCAAGUGGGAAGCAUCUGUUGCCAAGCCCGUGAUACGGACUUGGAGGAGGAAUGGAGGGGAUGGUGGGGUGUCCCCUGGACGGAGAAUACUGACAAGUGCUGGGAAUCCUCUCGCGGAGCUCUGUGACAUCCGCUCGGCUCUAUGUGCGUGCCCUACCUCGGCUUCUUGUGCUUCAUGGGUGAUGGGGAGGAGAAUUUUCCUCUGUCCUUCAAGGUUCUUUUAGCAGCUCUAAGAAUUAAAUUGACAUGAGACAGAUUCACAUGGGAAAAUCACAUUUGGUUCUGCAGGUACAGGGGCGCCAUAAGAAUGUGAGGUCCGCAGGCAGUCAGGCAGCUGAGGCUCAUGUGCCGCCCAGAGCUAAGGAGAAGGGGGAAGGGGUCCGGGGCUUCGGCGUCAAGGAGGACAUUUCACAGGAAGCUGAAAGAGAGAAAGUGACUGGUAAACCAGUGUUUCCAGGGGCCUCCAUAAGCAAUGGAACAUGGAGGAAUUUUAACAAACAGAUUUUGCUGGAUUUCUCCCCAUCUGCACACCUAGUUCCUAAGAUACUGCAGGUAUCUAUGGUUCUCGUUUCCUUCCUGGAGCAGGUCUUACCUCCAGAUUCUUUUAGGCAGUUAGGCGGAAGGGCAAGGGGCCUUCCUGAACCUUCUAUUUCUUAAAAAGAAGCAGGCUAAAACAAUGCAUAUGCCAAGGAGUCACGUUUUGGUUUGGCAAACUUUGCUUCCAUCCGAUAUGCCUAAGAGUCACCUGGAGAUACUGUGGAGAUGAAGAGUCUGAUUCAGUGGGUCUGGGGAGGGGCCUGGGAUGUGUAUUUAUUUUUUUUUAUUUUUUAACGUUUAUUUAUUUUUGAGAC